rnacentral:rRNA from 1 species
CGUGCCCUGGAGUGGGGGAUAACUAGUCGAAAGAUUAGCUAAUACCGCAUACGAUCUACGGAUGAAAGUGGGGGAUCGCAAGACCUCAUGCUCGUGGAGCGGCCGAUAUCUGAUUAGCUAGUUGGUGGGGUAAAGGCCUACCAAGGCAUCGAUCAGUAGCUGGUCUGAGAGGACGACCAGCCACACUGGGACUGAGACACGGCCCAGACUCCUACGGGAGGCAGCAGUGGGGAAUUUUGGACAAUGGGCGCAAGCCUGAUCCAGCAAUGCCGCGUGAGUGAAGAAGGCCUUCGGGUUGUAAAGCUCUUUUGUCAGGGAAGAAACGGUGGAGGUUAAUACCUUCUGCUAAUGACGGUACCUGAAGAAUAAGCACCGGCUAACUACGUGCCAGCAGCCGCGGUAAUACGUAGGGUGCAAGCGUUAAUCGGAAUUACUGGGCGUAAGCGUGCGCAGGCGGUUGUGCAAGACAGAUGUGAAAUCCCCGGGCUCAACCUGGGAAUUGCAUUUGUGA